UACGUAGGUGGCAAGCGUUGUCCGGAUUUACUGGGCGUAAAGGGCGUGCAGGCGGUUUGUUAAGUGCAGGGUGAAAGCUCCCGGCUCAACUGGGAGAGGUCCUUGCAUACUGGCAAACUCGAGGGAGGCAGAGGAAAGUGGAAUUCCCGGUGUAGUGGUGAUAUGCGUAGAUAUCGGGAGGAACACCUGUGGCGAAAGCGGCUCACUGGACCAUAACUGACGCUGAUGCACGAAAGCUAGGGGAGCAAACAGG
rnacentral:rRNA from 1 species